GAGGGCAUGGAAGCUCGCACCCAUUCCUCAUACCUUGCCCUAUGCAUCUUUGCGAUCUAUCUGUUCCUGAGUUAUACCCUUUUAUAAUAAACCAGUAAUCUAGUCACUGACCUCGGAGAAGUUUAUCUAGACCUCAUGGAGAGAGCUGUACAUCUCCCACAGAUCCUGGACUUUGAGCUGGAAUUGAAACCGGCAACCAGCCAUUGAUGAUUUAAGUAUCUAGGAAUUAGAACUCCUUGUCCACUUCAGGCCACUUGAGACCACCAACUCAUCAGCUGGGCCGUGCAGAUGUCUGAUAGGCAACCUUUUGACGUCAAGAGGCUAAAAACUCCACCCUCAGGUCAUGCUAACACCUCCGUUUUGUGAAUAUGCAUCUUAUGAAGAGGUGGGACGUCUGACUACGCUUGCGCAAAUCAUCAAUUACCUCACCUCUCCUCCCCUCCAAUCACCUCUCUCCACAUGUCAGACCACCUUGCCCCCUACCCCAUAAAUAUCCCUGAGUCCUUAUUUUCAGGGAAGAGAAUUUGAGACUCAUGCUCUCGCUUCCUCACGUGACUGCCUUGUGGAGGUCAUGGUGAAGUUGUCAUUGCCUGAGCGUGGAUGAACUUGGUCAUAGUUGUUCAUAUUGUCACCGUUACAUUUGAGUGAUGUGCAUGUUGGCACAUCAUGUGUUGAAGUUAAUGAGCAUUUCAUAUUUAUUAUCAAUGUUACAUGGAUUUAGCAUGGAAAUGAAAAGUUAGGUACAUUCCAUGUACGGAAAGAGACUAGUAGGGCAAAACACCUGUGCGAUGUUGAAGGAAUCACUGUAAUUCUGUUGUUUCUUGCAAGGCAACAACUAGGGAUUUUAUGAAAUAAAAUAAAGCUACCUGUAAGUUGAUGAAACUGUAUUGUGGCCAAAAAGCUUGCCUGUCAUUCACCAAGCAAUGCAACAAAAGGUAGUAGAAAUUCCCAAACCCCUCAAAUUGGAUGAAAGACAUUUCUAUACAAAGAGAGGCCGGUUUGACUGAUGUGUCAUGUGAAAACUUUGCUAAAGCUCUGAAAAUCAGUUUCCCAGAAGCUUUUUGCUGACUUUGAACAGAAGCUGUUUAAUUUCUAGUGGUAUGAUUCAAUUGGGGAAAAAAGGAAACUAUGAGUUUAGGCAAACAGGGAAUGAUGACAAAAUCACACGUUCUUUAAAAACCUCAAAAUUGUACUGUCAAUUCUCAAAGCACUGAAGAAAUUAAUAUUUUAAGCACAGGUUACCAAGAGAAGCAAAUCACUGUGAUGCUCUAUGUAGCUCUUGCUAAUGAAAAGAUGCCAUGGUAUUUAAUAUGAAUAAGGUAUUCAUACAGUUUAAUUUCUGAAAAAGAAUACUUAGAGUUGGGGGCUGGCCCCGUGGCCAAGUGGUUAAGUUCGUGUGCUCUGCUGCAGGCGGCCCAGUGUUUCUGUUGGUUCGAAUCCUGGGCGUGGACAUGGCACUGCUCAUCAAACCAUGCUGAGGCAGUGUCCCACAUGCCACAACUAGAAGGACCCACAACGAAGAAUAUACAACUAUGUACUGGAGGGGCUAUGGGGAGAAAAAGGAAAAAAAAUAAAAUCUUUAAAAAAAAAGACUACUUAGAGUGAAAGAGGGAGUUGUGGAUACUUACGUAAGGAUAGCAGGGAUUGUCCCAAGUAAACUGGGUCACCCUAAUUUUAAAUUAGAAAGCUAGUUCUGAGAAUGAUAUUUUCCCCAAAGAUGUUAUUGUGGUUGCAUAAAAUAAUGGAUGGAUGCUGGCUGGGCCAAUGGAGGAUUAACUAAAAGCCAUCUAGAACAGAUGUACAGGAGACACGAGUGACCAAUCCACCCAGUACAUUAGUCUUGAUGCAUUUUAUGGGCAUUUAUUUGAACAGUGAGAUAACAAACUUAAGAGACAAAAAGAAGGAAAAUACAGAUAAGAAGGCCAGAGAUUGAGAGAACAUAGUGAGAAGUUCUAAUAUAUAUUUAAUCAAAGUUCUAGAAGUGAGAGACAAGAUGGAGACAGAGGCAAUAUUUGAAGAGAAAAUAGCUGAAAAAUUGCUGAAACUAUUGAAAGAUACCAAUCCACAGAUUCAAGAAGCUCAAUCCCAAACAGUCUGCAUAAAAAGAAGUCUGUAUCUUGUUACAUCAUAGCGAAACUAUAGAGGACCAAAGAUAGAGAAAAAGCUGAAGAGCAGCCAGAAGGGGGGAAAAGAAGAUUACUUCUCGUUAGAUGGCAGUGGAAGUAACUGGAUUGAUAUUUUCAAUGUUUUGGGGAAAAAAUCCAUAGAAUUCUAUACCAAGCUAAAACGUCUUUUAAGAAAGGAGAAAUAAAGGCAUUUCCAUAAAAUGGAACAUCUGAAUUAUGAGUUUAUCCCCAGCAGAACUUCACUAAAUAAUAUUCAGUUAGUACUUUAGAUAAAAGGAAAAUGAACUCAGAUGAAAGGGCUGAGAUGUAGAAAAUAGAUGAAGAGAAAAAAAAAUGUAAAUAUGCUUUUUAAUUGUAUUCACUUCCCAGUGCCAGACACACUCACUUUUUAUGGCUCUGCCACUUGCCCAAUUCUCAGGAGCUUCUGAAAUGGAAAAUAAAACCACUGCUACCAAAUGCUUUAGGGGGUUGAGAUAAAAGUAAUCUCAAGGCCAGAGUAUUUGCUGCCAUCAGAAAGACUAUGACUACCUUUAUUGUAAAAUAUCUGGUGAAACCAUAGAGAGAAAAAUAUGGCUUAAAGGAAACACAUGAUAGAAUCAUCGUAAGGCUUUUCUGUUUUAAAACUGGACUAUAAAAAGAACUCUCAAUUCAAUGAUAAGAAAACAACCGAAUAAAAAUGGGCAAAGGAUUUGAACAGACACUUCACAAAAGAAGAUAUACAGAUGACAAAAAAAACACAUGAAAAGAUGUGCAAUGUCAUUAGUCAUCGUGGAAAUACAAAUUAAAACUACAAAGAGAUGUCAAUACAUACCUACCAUAUCAGCCAGCAAUCCAACUUCUAUGCAUUUACCCAACUGAAAUAAAAACUUACAUUCACACAUAAAUCUGUAUGCAAAUGUUUAUAACAGUGUUAGUCAUAAUCUCCCAGACAAGAAACAAUCCAAAUGUCCCUCAACUAGUGAAUGGAUAAAUUGUGGUAUACCCAUGUAAUAGAAUACUACUCAGCAAUAAAAAAGGAACGAACUAUUAGUAUACACAACAACAUGGAUGAUUGUGAAAUGCAUUAUGCUAAUUGAAAGAAGCCAGACUCAAAAGGCUACAAGCUGUACGAUUCCAUUUUUUCCAGAAGAGGCAAAACUGUAGGGACAGAAAACCAGUGGCUUCCAGAGGCUGGGGAAGGGCGGAGGGGUUGACCACCGCAGGGCAUGGGGGAAUAUGUUGGGAUAAUGCAACUGUUUUAUAUAUUGAUUGCAGUGGUGGUAACACAAUAGGAUGAGCUUUUCAAAACUUGCAGAACUGUACACUAAAGAGUGAUCAUUACUGUAUAUAAUUUAUACCUUAAAAAAAGGCAGGCAUCUUCAGGGUAUUUUACAAUCUCACUCUCUUUGACAUGGAAGCAAAUGCUCUUCAUUACACACACACACAUAUACAUCCAACGCAUUGGUUGUUGUCUUGUCAAAUGUCCAGAACCAUUUCCUCCAGCCCUCUCUCUCCUUUUAGCAAGUGACUUUUCCACCUGCUUAAUCAAGAAAAACUGGAUUAGAUGAACACAUCUGACCUUUCUCUCCUUUACCUCAAAUUUCCUCUCCUCAUCUGCGUGAGGAUACAGGAUAACCUCUAAAUAUCUUAGGGCAUUUGCAUUCUAGUAAGGAAAAUAAUUUUAAAAAUUAUUAAAAAGUAGAAUAAGCUCACCAAAAAGUACAGGGACUUAGUGGUAUGACCACACACUGGCAUCCCUUGAUGUUUCAAGACUAUUUGAGGAUUAAUUAACCAUUUAAGGGUAAGUGGAAGAAGCCAAUCUGAAAAGGCUAUAUAAACUGUAUGAUUCCAACUCUAUGAUACUCUGGGAAAGGCAAAAGUAUGGAGACAGUGAAAAGAUCAGUGCUUGUCAAGGGCUUGGGGGGAGAGAGGGGUGAAUGGAGGAGCAUGGAGAAUUUUUAGGGUAGUGAGACUAUUAAUCUGUAUGAUAUUACAACGUUGGAUACAAGUCAUUAUACAUUUGUCAAACCCAUAGAAUGUACAACACCAAGAGUGAACCCUAAUGUAAACUAUGGGCUUUAGUUAAUAAUAAUGUAUCCAUAUUGGCUGAUCAAUUAUAACAAACGCACCACAAUAAUGCAAGAUAUUAAAAAUUAAGAAAAUUGGGAGGGAGG
rnacentral:lncRNA from 1 species